rnacentral:ncRNA from 1 species
CUCUGCGCCUAAAAGCAGCCCGAAAGGGUGAGGUGGUCGCGUCCUUAAAUGCUAGUCUGCCCUCUCACGGGGGCAGGCCACACGCUCAAAUUGCGGGAAGUUCCUAAGAGCCCUAGAUACCAAGCCGGCGUUCGAAAGGCGCCGGUGGCCAGGUUAAUUGCCUCGGGUAUGGUCAAAACGCUAGGGAUGCAACAAUGGAUAAUCCGCAGCCAAGCCCCUAAACCUCCGGCUCUCGGCCGGAGGCACGGGGAAGGUUCAGAGACUAAAUGGGUGUGGGUGGAUGCACCGCGAGGUGCGUCUGCUUAAGAUAUAGUCCGUCCACCUCUCGAAAGGUUG